rnacentral:rRNA from 1 species
GCCCCUUGUGCACACCUUGUAGGCACCCAAACCCACCUAUGUAUUCCUUCAUCUCACACUCUGUUGAAUGGUGCCAUGGGACGUAUCUAAAGGAUUAUUUGUAAAAAAGUAAUCAUAGAAACAACUUUCAACAAUGGAUCUCUUGGCUCUCGCAUCGAUGAAGAACGCAGCGAAAUGCGAUACGUAAUGCGAAUUGCAGAAUUCCGUGAAUCAUCGAAUCUUUGAACGCACCUUGCGCCUCUUGGUAUUCCGAGGGGCAUGCCUGUUUGAGUGUCAUUGAAACCCUCAAGAAGAAAGUCUUUCGGGGCCUUCUUUUUGGAACUGGAGUGUGCUGGCCUUUUCGUGGAAGAGCCCAGCUCCUCUGAAAUGCAUUGGCGAUGUGACAUCCUCAUGCCAUCACGCUUCUCUAGCAUUGAUAGUCUCUUUCAUGCUUUAGUGUGUUGUGCUUAGGUGGAAAGUUUCGCUCGCUUACAGACCCAUUGGGGGUUCCCCCCCAUGCUUUGACCAAAUUAACCUCAAAUCAGGU